rnacentral:lncRNA from 1 species
AAAUGCAUAUUCAUGUAAACUUGGGAAUUUGGUUCUGUGCACGUGAUGCGGCAAUUAUCAAAUAAUGAAAUUUAAUGAGAUUGUCUGAAAUGCUUUGUCAUGCCUUGCAACAACAGUCUCAAGAUGUAGUUAGUGUUAGGAAUCUUGAUCCAUACAGAGAAACCUCCAUAUUUAGGAAAAACAAAGAUCACUGUCUUUGAACAAUCAAAUAGUGAUCAACUACUAUCCAAGGCCAUUCAAACAAAGCAUAGUUGUAAUCUUAUUCAAAUUCUCGUGAAUAUCCUCCCCAAGAUUGAGAAGUUUAUCUUUAUAUGUCGUUUCAUGAGCUUGUUUUCUUCUCACUUGGUUGCUCAAUUACACAAAUUUUCAUGAUGGUAUGUUGAAUAUUAUAUUCAAUAUUAUAUUCUUCCUCUUUAGAAAUAUAUAAAA